rnacentral:rRNA from 1 species
CCUACGGGUGGCAGCAGUGGGGGAUAUUGCACAAUGGGGGAAACCCUGAUGCAGCGACGCCGCGUGAGUGAAGAAGUAAUUCGUUACGUAAAGCUCUAUCAGCAGGGAAGAAACACUGACCUUACGGUCAGCAGACGGUACCUGAGUAAGAAGCCCCGGCUAACUACGUGCCAGCAGCCGCGGUAAUACGUAGGGGGCAAGCGUUAUCCGGAUUUACUGGGUGUAAAGGGAGCGUAGACGGGGCGGCAAGUCGGGAGUGAAAUGCCGCAGCUUAACUGCGGAACUGCUUUGGAAACUGGCGAACUAGAGUGCGGGAGGGGUAGGCGGAAUUACUGGUGUAGCGGUGAAAUGCGUAGAUAUUAGGAGGAACACCAGUGGCGAAGGCGGCUUACUGGACAGUAACUGACGUUGAGGCUCGAAAGCGUGGGGAGCAAACAGGAUUAGAUACCCCUGUAGUC